UGAGCUUGAUCCUGGCUCAGGAUGAACGCUAGCGGCAGGCUUAACACAUGCAAGUCGAGGGGUAUGGUUCUUCGGAGCCAGAGACCGGCGCACGGGUGCGUAACGCGUAUGCAAUCUACCUUUUACAGAGGGAUAGCCCAGAGAAAUUUGGAUUAAUACCUCAUAGUAUAAUGACUCGGCAUCGAGAUAUUAUUAAAGUCACAACGGUAAAAGAUGAGCAUGCGUCCCAUUAGCUAGUUGGUAAGGUAACGGCUUACCAAGGCUACGAUGGGUAGGGGUCCUGAGAGGGAGAUCCCCCACACUGGUACUGAGACACGGACCAGACUCCUACGGGAGGCAGCAGUGAGGAAUAUUGGACAAUGGGCGCAAGCCUGAUCCAGCCAUGCCGCGUGCAGGAUGACGGUCCUAUGGAUUGUAAACUGCUUUUAUACGAGAAGAAACACUACUUCGUGAAGUAGCUGACGG
rnacentral:rRNA from 1 species